rfam:Camelus ferus unplaced genomic scaffold scaffold185, whole genome shotgun sequence.
GGAGAGUACAGCUCUGUGGUAGAGUGUAUGCUUAGUGUGCACGAGGUCCUGGGUUCAAUUCCCAGUAACUCCA